AAGUACUCAAGUACCUUGUGAUAUUUUGAAGAGUAUUGUGAGCAAUUCCCACACUAAGAACCGAUCACUCUCCAUCUCUCAUUCACUAUCAUCUUUUUUGAAGACCUCUCAAAGUGUUCUCUCCAUUUUUUCAAGCCCAAGAACACCAAGGAAACUUUGAGGCUAAGUCUUGGUCUAGGAAGUAUUUUCCCUAAGUUUGUUAGGGUUUUUGAAAGGUUUUGAAGGAGUCAAAGCUUAUAGGAAGGUCCAAACCUUAAGCAAGAACACCAAAGAGGUAAGUGCAAGGGCAAGGCAGAGUAGUGAGCGCUGGAGUCUUCCUUGCAAAUGUACAUGUGGACCGACCUUUUGGGAAGCCGUUUUAUUUUUGGAAAUGUUGUGUAAUUUUCCUAAACAAGGCUCACUCUACUCUUUAUAAAAUAUGUUUGUAACUAAAUGUUAAGUAUGGCCAUACAACUUUUUAAAAAGUUUUUUUUUAUAUACGGGUUUUUGAGACAUUUUGUUAAAUGAAAACAUUUAUAUUUCCGCAUUAUUGAGUCUUGAAAAUCCGGGUCGUUACAGCCUGAAGGAGGAAAAUAAUUUCGCCUUUGAUAUCCUUGAGGAUGAGAAGAAGCGCAUGCUCUAGGAGAUUGAGGCCAAGAAGGAUUAGGCUACAGAUCGGGCCAUGUAUAUGAUAUGUUCUUUGAACCCUGAGAUGGACACUUCAUUUCUCCAUGAUAAGGAAGAGGAGUUCAUCUCCAAGUGGAAGGCUCGAUUGGCCGAGGAGGCGGUCACGGCUACUACCUUAGAUGAUGGAGAGGAGGAUG